UUCGUAUGAUGACAAUUUUUAUUUUAAUUGAAGAAACCAUGAUUUUUUAUUUGAGCUUUUUAACACUGACGAAU
rfam:Nasonia vitripennis chromosome 4, whole genome shotgun sequence.